CCUUGGGUGGCCGUACCCACUGGGAACCAUGGAGUUGGUUCUCACCCCACGUUGUUUUGGGGUUUUACAGGUUCGCACGUGAGCGGCGCGGCGGCGCGAGGCAAGGGCGUAGCUCCAUAGAUAGCGCCCUACCCCCAGAGACCAGAGCUAGCAGUACCCCGUCGGCGUAGCUUAGGGGUAUAGAAAAUGAAAGGAAUAAAAUGUAUUAAACUUGUAAUAGCUUAGAUUGUAUUUGGAAGUUGAAUGUAAUAUAUAAAGUGUGAUGUAAGUAAAUGAAUCUAAUGUGAAUGUUGUAAUAAUAUAGGAUGUGUUUAUGUUGAUUGAUACCUUCCUGAUGCAAUUCUGUUUGCUGAGUACUGUUCCUGGUUGGAACCAUUGUAAUGUACAUUGUUUGGAUUGCGACGCCUAGAACGUACAGGGGAGACUCUGUCCGCGUACAGGGGAAACCCCGGUCCGUUCGGCGGUCUGUCGGCGUGCCCGAACCGGACCAAAUUGGGAGCGGUCUCGGGGCGUGACACUACUCUUCCUAUUACUUUUUACUUCCAAAUUUUUUGUGAGCUCAUUAUUAUUUUUGAUAUUUGGGAGAUUUUCAAAAUGUUAUGCUACAAAGAAAAGAUUUUGCUACAACAAUAUCUGUCUGCCGCAUCGCGCGGGUUAUUAUACUAUAAAACUAUGAAUCCUCAUAUCUUUCAAGCUGACAUGGUCCAACCUCCUUAAUUUGGGGGUGGGUCCCAUCAAUUUUUUAUUUUUUAAAAUUAAUUGAAUUUUCUCUUUUAUUUUUUUUCUUUCCUAUGGAUAGAUUAUCAUUUCUCUAAUUUGGGAAUAUAGCCCCAUUACCCUUAAAUUAAAAGUGCGGGUCCCACCAAUUUUUUUUAUUUUUCUAAAAUUAAUUAGAUGUUGAAAGGUUGGAUAAAAAUUUAAAAAGUUGGGAAUAUGAAAAGUCGUAUAUUUUAAUAGAAGAAAAUGAAAAGUCAUUUUAGAAUAUAAAAGGUCAAUUUAGAAUUUAUAUAAAGGGUUGUACUCAUACUCAUUUUUGAUGAAUAAGAAAUGAUAUAUACUAAAUACUAUUUAUUUUGUCUCAAGAAAAUUGAUCGCAUCUGCCUAUAACGAUUAACUAUAUUUGAAAGGUUCUUUUUUUAUUUGAAUUUGAUACUUUAUUUGUUUACUCAGAUUUUUCUACCAUAUAGUAUAUUUUAAAUCGCCCAUUAUUCUAGAAACUUCAAAUUGCGCUAGAUCAAAGUUACGCAGCCGAUCCGAUUCAGAAAUUUCCAUCAUCGAAAACGGCUCAGAAGCGAUGGAGGCUCGUGCUCCUGAGAGCCACAGAGUCCUACUCCAUAUAUAUAUAUGUAUAUAUGAUCUAUAUACAUAUAUCUAUACUAUAUAUAUAUAUAUGAAAUAUAAGGCUGAAUACUAUAAUUAGUGAACGCUUCUUUUUUUUGUUGCCUACCAAAGUUUUUAACUGAUGAAAUGUAGGGUAGGAUGAUUUAGUCGGUUAAGAGGGGAGUGCUGGGUGAGUGGUCCCUACUGGUUAUUAUAUUAUUUAAUCUUUAAAUGGUUAGAAAAUAAUUGAAAAGUAGUGAUCCAAAGGCUAAAAAUCAGGCAACAAGAAUUUUGCUACUAAUAGUACCAGCCACAUCUAUAAUAUUUAUAUUAUAUUAUAUAUUAUUUAUUUAUAAUAAAUAUAUUUUCUGAAAGGUCAAUAAAUAGAUAAGAUAAUAGUGAGACAUAUAAACUGUAUUUUGGACACUAUGGCAAAUAUCAUGAUCUGUUUGAUCAUCGUCAUUUGCACAGCCUGAUGCAUGUUUGAGUUUGACAGUGAUCUACUCGGUUUGUGGUAGCACCCGCCUGUAUGUGCCAUCCGGAGGUUGGGCUAUAAGAUAUUAUUAUUUGCCAUGGGACCAGCAGUUGCUGGUGGGUUUAGCAACCACAAUUAGUGGUGUGCUGAAGGGCGGCAUGAUAGACCUGAGUGGUUGAGUCGAUCAUAUGAUUGGUAAUUAUUUAGUAUUUUUAUUUAGUCUCUAAUAAACAUGCAACGUAAUUUACAAUUUCAGCUGCUAUGAGGCAUGAUAGUAGAGUUAUUUUCGACAAUUAUUCUUUAGAUUAGUAUAUGUUCUUUCAUAUUGCUCAGUUUUACUAUUUUGCCUCUUAUGGAACCUAGUGGUGGUAGAUGUCAGUGCUGACGAUUGUACCACCGGGGAACUAUUGAUUAUGUAUUUCAUUACGCUUUUAUUUAAUAUUUUAUUUCGAACUUUCAGAACCACGACUUCGCAUAUAAGCGAUGUGGAUACUAUUGCAUUCCUACCCUUUGUAUGUGUGUGUAGUUGGCCUAUUAGUAGAAGCCUGUAUAGUAUUUUGAUACUUGGAGUUGAGUGGAGGCGGUCAAAAUGUUGCUCCAUUUGAAGAUUGGUGUGGUAAUGAUGUAAAUCGUUAUAGUGUGCUUAGCAUAUAGUUUUAUUUUUCUCUAAACCUAUUAUUGUUUAGUUUAGUAAUUUGUUGAACGAUUUUUGACGGCUUUCGUAUGUAUAAGGUGUAUUAUUGUGAAUUGCGGCGGGCUGUUGACGUAACCGGGUUUCGCUGUAAUCCGGGAUUGAUAAUUUGAUUUUUAGAAAGUUUUUAUUUAAUACGUUUAAUGGUAUGGAUCAUCAUUGGGCUGCUAGGUCAUCGAAAACGGAUUUAUAGUUACGGCGACAUCGUACCAAGAGUAUAGUAGCCGGACUCUAUUAUAUAUAUAGUAUAGGCAGGCUGUGGUACUCUCAGGAGCCGGGGCUCUUGUGCUCCUGAGUGUUUUCCGUGAUGUGAGUUUCGAUAUUGACGAUCGGCUACAUUAGACUUGAUCUAGCGUCUAUUUGAAAGUUUCUAGAAAAUAAUUUUGCAAUUUUUCGAUAUUCAUUUUACUACAAUCGAAAGGAUUCAAAAUGCAAUAUUUUUAAACGGACUUGAAAAUAAAUCAGUAACAUGGUGAUAAACAAUAAAAUUUUCGAUCAGGAAUAUUAAUUUGUUGUAGAUGUAUAUAUAAUAUAAUUUUGUGAUCAAAAUUUCAUCUGAUUUGUACUCUAGCUUCGUUAAACUUGGGAAAACACAGAUAUAAACAUUUUAAAAUUAUGGAUUUUGAAUCCUUUCGAUCACUAGCGUAAAUGAUAAUCAAAAAAUCCAAAAAUUAUCAAGAUCUAACGGAGCGUUAGUCGAUUAAGAAAAAUUCCAUCAUCGAAAACGCUCUCUGUGCCUCUAGAGCACAGCAGCCUGCUCUGGAUAUUUAAUUUUAACGGGCACUGACAAUAAAUCCUAUAAAGUUGUGAUAUAGCACUAAAUUUUUGAUUAGAAACAUAUUAAUCUUGUUGUCGAUAGUAUAAAAGAUUUUGUAAUCAAAUUUAUCUGAUUUGAUACUCUACUGUUAAUUGAAACAAGCAGAUAUCACCAUUAAAAAUUUUAUUGGAUUUAUGAAUCUUUUCUCACUUGCGUAAAUGAUAUCAAAAUCACAAAAUUACAAGCUUAACGGAGCGAUGGUCGAUCGAAAAUUUCCUUAUCGAAACGGUCAGGCAGCACGAGCCUCUAGCUCGUGAGGCCACGCAGCCUCAAAGCGAUAAUCACUAUUAAAUAUGGAUUUAAUCCUUUCCGUCAUAGGUAGAUGAUAUCAAAAUCGAAAAAUAUCCAAGCUUAAGGAGCGCGAAUCGUCGAUUUGAAAUUUCAUCAUUUGAAAACGGCUGAAGAGACGGAGGCUCCGUUGCUCCUAGAGACAGGCGAGCUGCUUAUAAGUGUUUUGUGAAUUUUUUGUAUUAUUUAUCUAAGUGAUCGAAAGGAUUCAAAAAUUCAAAUUUUUAUAGUUGUACUUGCCGUUCUACAAGUUUAACGGUGUAGAGAUUCAGAAAUCAGAUGAAUUUUGAUACAAAAUUACUUUGAUAACUAAUUACAACAGAUUAUAUUUUCUGAUCGAAAUGUUAGUGCACUAUAUCACCUUUUUUAGGAUUUUUAUUUACGUUUAAUAAUUAUUUGUUUUGAAUUUUUUCGAUUGCCUAGGUAACAUGCCUAUUGAAAAUCGUAAAAUAUUUUCUCGAAACUUCAUAACGCUAGAUCAAGAUCUACGGAGACGAUCUCGAUUCGAAAUUCAUCAUCGAAACAGGCUCAGGGCAUGGAGGCUCCAUCCUUCCUGAGAGACAAGCAUGGAGGCCUCGUGGCUCUGAGGCACCGCUAUGAGUUCAGCUAGAAUUCUAUCGGAUAGCGAAAUGGAGUUCCGGUUGACACCAUUGUUUUCGAUGAUAGGAGCCUCAAUAAUCGACGAUCGACACCAUUGAAAUAUUAUGCCAUUUUGAAAUUGUUGUAGAAAUCUAUUUCAUAUUCUUUUCGGGCUCAUUUACCUAAUAUGAGGCGUUUCAAAUUUGAAUUUUAAAGGUCGAUAUGAGGUGUUUCUCGUUUACGCGCCGUAAGAAAUAUCCAAAUAAUUGAAUUUUGUUUAGAAAUUUUUAACUAUUUGAAAACAGAUAUUACUCUUGAUCUUUGAUUCAAGACUCCUAUCUUUAUUUUUUAAGAAUUUUUAUUUUUUAGCCGGUCAUUUUUGUUUCCACUCGAUGGAUAUGGGCGAAAUAUCGGAAAUAUGUGAAUUUGAUUUCUAACAUUCAAGUAGUAUAGAUCAUGUUCAAUACGGUGAGAUCGUUUGAUUUGGAAGCGUCAACCAUCGAAAACAAUAUGGGUGGCACGAGAGUCGUUUGCUUUAGAUAGUAUUCUGACUCAACUCUUAUAUAUAAUAUAUAUAUAUUAUUAUAUUAAUAGAGUGAGCAAUCAUGACUAUUGGAAACAAGUAGUUGAGUGCUUUCGAUUUUUAGGCUUUGGAAAAGAUUCUACGCUGGAAUGAUGCGUCUCUUAGAGAGAUCGGUGGCGUAUUCCUAGGGUUGAGUGUCUAUUUUGUUAAUAAUAUUAAUCAAUGUUUAGAAUGAUCAAUGGAGUUUGAUCUAAGGGCUAUAAAAAAUCGAAAAAUCACCAACUACUGUAUCUUUCAUAGAUAGUAGUUAAUAUAUAUAUAUAUAUAUAUGUUAUCAAACUUUUAUUAUUUAAUUUCUUUUGAUGUAAAUACAUAUAAAGCCCAUGAAAAUGCAUUUAUUGAUAUACAAGUUUCAAUUUAGAUUAAAUAUAAGUCGGUCAACCUCAUAAUUUAUUUUUAUAUAAUUUUUUCUAAUAGUUUAACUUGUUCAUCUGAACUAAUUUGCGUUCCGGCUUCGUUUGUAUCUUUUAACAAGUUAUUCAUGUUCAAAUCCUAAAACAUGAUUCCCGCUAUUGCAAAUGCACCUAUUUGUAGUCAUAGCUGUUUAUUUAAAAUUUUUUAUUUUUAAUUUUAAAUGGGAAAUACGAUGGAUGGCAAAGUCAAUCAUUCUAUAAUCUGAGAGAAAUUUUAAUUUUCACUAGAAAUAAUAGGAAAAUUAUAGCUUGUUCAUUGAAAAUAAUUUGACAAAAAGUCAAAGCAAAAGCUUUUUAAAAAGGACAUUCGAAACUAUCUAGCAUUUUUAAGAUUUUAUUUUAAUUAGGACUAGAUUUUCAAUCCUAUUGUGGCCCUCAAGUGUGAUUACUAUUCUAUGUCUAGGUUAUAGGUUGACAAUUCAUAAACUAGUGUAUGUGCCCGCGCGUGCCGGGAUGUAGUAUAUUAUUAUUUUAAAUUUUAAUUUAAUUUUAGAUCCUUAUUUUUUUUAUAAGUUAUUUUGUAGAGAUGUAUAAACAAUUGGGACUAUAAAAGUAUUUAGUAAUUUAAAGUUAUAUGAAAAGUAUUGAAAGAUUUUUCUUUAAUCUUUAUUUUACAUUUGAAACAUCUAAGGUUAUCAAACCGCUUUAUUUUGACAAUUUUAUAGAUAUUUAAUAUAGUAGGGAGGGUAGAUUUAUUUAGUAAUAAUGAGAAAAUAUAUUUAGCAACAAAUCAAAUAUCAUUAUUGCUGCUAUGUAUGGAUAUUAGGUUGCCAUAAUAUGAAUUAUUUUCAAAAAUUCUAACACCCAAUAUAAAUAAAUUUCAUCAAAUUGCUUCAAACAUCAAAUCAUAUUUAUACAAUAAGGAUUAUAAUGUAACAAAUCAAAUAAUUAUAUAAUGGAAUCAUGUGAAUGCGACAAUUAAACAUAAAAUUUAUAUAAUAACCAAGAUACUAAAAUAAAUAUAUAAAAAAAAAAUAUAAAUUACUAUAAAAACUCUUAAAUUGGAUAAUCGUAAUCCGUAUUUAAUAUNNNNNNNNNNNNNNNNNNNNNNNNNNNNNNNNNNNNNNNNNNNNNNNNNNNNNNNNNNNNNNNNNNNNNNNNNNNNNNNNNNNNNNNNNNNNNNNNNNNNUGAGUUUUCGGCUGUUGGAUGAAAGGAUGUGCGGUUAGGAUGAUAGUGGUCCCCUAGGAUUGAGUAGGUGGUUGGUUUAAUAGUAUAAUCUAACGGGUGAAAAUGAUCAAAGGAUAGAUCUAACGGUAGAAAACUCAAUAGUACCAAGGAUUUGGUACUAUCGAUAGUAUAGUAGCCGGACUAUAUAUAUAUAUAAUCCGAAAAUUUCAGCAUCGAACAAAGUAAAACACUUGCUUUUUUUUCUUCAUCUAUUCUCACGUCUAGAGCCACGAGCUUGCUCACAAUGGAGUUGAAUGAACUUAGAUGUUUUUGUACUGGUGCCCCGUCCUUCAUCUUUAAAUUGUACAAUUGCCGCUUUAAGAAGAUUUCAUUCACCAAUGACUUCACUUCAUAGAGAUUCUUCAAUUUAACACAAAUUUCUUUUGCGGUAGUCUCGAUCUCGACGUUGAAUAGCACCAAAUCAUCUAGUGCCAAAUAUAGAUUUGCUAAAGCCAUCUUGUCUUUCUCUUCAAAUAGCUUAUCCGUCAUCCCUUUCGGCUUUUUCUCCUUUCAUUGUAGGGCGAUCUCGCAGGCAUCUUUAAUCAAAACUGCUUGCAUGUUAGUUUCCACAACGCAAAAUUAGUUCCAUCAAAUCUAGGAACCUCAUACUUCGUCGCUGUAACUCUCCCCGCCAUUGUUUCACCGUCAACGAACUAUAAAGAAACAAAUGCUCUGAUAUCAAAUUGAAGGGACUGGCCGUGGGGUUACCGAGCACAUCUCAAACCCACACGGCACAUAAGCGCAGUGAAAACAGGAUCUUUCGUAGACGUAAGAGAUGAGAACGAUCGUAGGAAAAAUAAGCAUAAGGAUAACAAAGCAAAAAAAAAAAUAAGAGAACGCAAGAACACAAGAUUUAUGUGGUUCAGUUAACCAUGAGUCGUCCUAUGUCCACGACUAAGAUCAACUCAAUGCUUUCUUCAAUUAAUCAACGACACAAAAGUACAAAGAAAAAAAAAAUAGUAUAAGUAAUUAGUUAAAUAUUUUGAAAAAAAAAAUCAAGAAUAACUUGUUAAUAAAUAAUUUAUCAAGAAUAACUUGUUAAUGAAUAAUUUAUCUUUCCUUUAAAGAUAGUUUUUACUAUUUUACAAUCAUUCAAUUCACAAAAAUGUCGUAAACUAAAGGAAAUAAAUCGACUAAUUAAAUGCAUAUUAAAAAGAGUAGAAUUUCAAACAACAAAAUACUUGAUGGAAGAACAUACCUAAUGGAGGAUUGGAAGAAGAAAAGGCAGUAAAAAGUUAAAAAGUUACUAAAUAGAUAUAGAUGAAUAAAAGUUUUUUUUUUUUCAAUUUACCAUAAGAGAUAAAAAAUUUCUAACCACGACACGCAGGUAAAUAACUUUUAGAUGUCAAGAAAUAAAAUUUGCAAGUGUCAAAAAAAAUUUUAAAAGUGUAAAAAAAAAUACGGUUGUCAAAAAGUUUGAAACGGUCUGUGUCAAAGUUCAAGAGAGUACAAAACCAAUUCAUCCAUAGUCUAUAGUAGGUCUAUGGUCUACAGUUGGAGCACCCAACAAACCCAAUAAACCAAAUAUCUAUAUUUCUUUUACUUAAUAUCUAUAAUACACCGCAUGCAUCGAAUAUUCAAAAUAGACAUAUGUCCACAAACAAAAAACCCUCCACACCUUUUAGAAUAUAGAUAUUGAAAAAAUUUCUACCCAUGACAUGUAGCCACAUAACUUUUAGGUGUCAAAUACAAAACUUGCAAGUGUCAAAAGAAAAAUUGGAAGUGUAAAAAAAAAAAAAAAAAAAAAAAAAAAAAAAAAAAAAAAAAAAACAAUUGUCAAAAAGUUUGAAACGGCACAAACCAAAUAACCUAAUAUCUAUAUUUCUUUUACUUAAUACAUGGUAUACCAGAUGCACCGAAUAUUCAAAAUUGACAUAUUUCCACAAACAAAGAACCCUCCGCACUCUUCAGAAUAUAGAUAUAGAUAUAGGGGGUGUUUGGCCUAGCUUUUGAAAAGUAAUUUUGGACUCAAAAAUGAUUUUCGGCUCAAUUGAGUGUUUGGUAACCUCGUUUUCGAAAUCUGAUUUUGAUUAUUAGAAUCAGUUUUCUAAUUUUCGAUGCUUAAAAUUAGAAACAGUUAAAACCUGCUUCUUGAAAUCUAAUUCUGAUUUUGGACUCAAAUUUUAAAUUUUUAUUUUUAUUUUCAAUUCAAAGUUUUAAUUUAAAUUUAAUUUUAAAUUUUAAAUUUUAAAUUUGUUUUUGAAUUUUUAAUUUUCAAAUUUUAAAAUUUAAAAUUUAAAAUUUAGAUAUUAAAUUUCAAAUUUUAAAUUAUAAAUUUAAAUUUAAAAUCUCAAAUUUUAAGUUUCAAAUUUAGAAUUUAAGAUAAAAUUUAUAUUUUGAAAUUUUAGAAUUUUAAUUUUAAUUUAAAAUUUAAAAUUUAAAAUUAUAUGUUUUAAUUUUUCAAAUUACAAAUUUCAAAAUUUCAAAAUUCAAAUUUUAAAUUUUAAUUUUAAAAUAAAAAUUUGAAAUUUAAAAUUAUUAAAUUUUAUUUUUCUAAUUUUGAAUUUUGAAUUUUGAAUUAUUAAAUUUUUAAUAUUUAAUUUUUAAAUAUCAAAUUUUAAAUUUUAAGUUUAGAUUUUGAAUUUGAAAUUAAGAAUUUAUAUUUUGCUUUAAAAACUCAAAUUGUAAAGUUUAAAUUUUCAAUUUUCAAAUUUAUUUCUUAAACUAAAAUAUCAAAUUUUAAAUUUUGUACAAAUUUUAAAUUUUAUUUCAAAUUUUAUAUUAUUUUAAAAAAAUUAAGUAAAAAUAUUAUUAUAUGCAAACAUCAAUUUUUUUUUUUUUGCCAAACAGCUUUACAAAAUUAUUUCAAAAAAAUCAGUUUUUUCUAAAUUCAGCCGAACGCUCUACAUUUUUCAACCAAAAUUAAUUCUUCAAAUCAAAAUCAAUCCUGAAAAUAAUACUUUUUCAGAAUUUAGGCGAAACGUGCACAUAGAUUGGCCUAUGGUUGAGCUGUCAACAAGUCAAACACGAACAAACUGGUGGAUUCUCGAAAUCGGGAGGUAAUCUGUAUUGUAUAUAUCCAACACAAAAUUAAAAUUAAAAGAAGCUUGUAUAAUCCAGCUCGUAUUCGGCUUAAACUUAAUUCGAGCUAAGCUCAAAAUUAUUUAAAGUCGUAUUGAAUCAAACUCUAAAUAAAUAUUAACACUAAGUAUAUAGUAUUAUUACUAAUUUAGUGUUACUUAUGCUUGCUAUUGCUAUCACUAUUACUAAUUCAUGCUAUAAUUUAAAACUCAUGCUUAUAAAAAUAAAAAAUGAAAACUUGAAAAUAAUAUUCAAAUAUUGCACUGAGCACGAGAUAGCUCACAAACAGCGAGCUGAAUUGACAGUCCCAACCAUCUUCUUAAUAAAUAUUUUUUUUAAAAAAAUAAUAAUAAUAAAAAAAAACCUCUUCAAUCAUAAUAAUAGAGCCUCUCACAACUUGAGUACUGAAACAGCACCCAAGGUUGAGUACCAGCUCCACCUGAUCCACACCUCUGAAAAUUACAAAGAACCCAAGAGAGCAAUGAAUCAAAUGCUAUUAUUACAGAGCUAUAGAUAGAUAUGAUGAGGUUCUAAAACUUUGCUCUCCCAAAACCCCCACACCCCAACCUCAGAGAUGGAAAUGUGGGUUCCAUUCUCUUGCCCACCAAGUGUUUGUUGCAUGUCCUCAGAGAAACUCUUUGUAUAUUAUGGGAGUUGAAGAGGGAGCAAAACAACAAAUCAACAUGGCAUUGUUGCCUCUCCCCUCUUCUUCUCCACUCUCUUCACCCACCACCUCCCACAUCACCAAAUCAAACAUGUCCCUUUCUUUUCUACCCACCUCACUGGCCUUAUCACCCAACAAUCAUCUUCUCCUCUCUCCUGCCUCCAAAACCAUCACACCCACUAAAGAAGAGGUGGCAUUGAGUUCCACGCCGCCGCCUUUAGUAGGCCUCGAUGGCGGGGUCGACUUGUCGUUGAUCGACCGGAGCAUUCUCCGCGAUCACAAGUGCUUGAAGGAGCUCAGCACCUGGGGAAUUGGUGGCCCAUGCAAGUACUUCAUUCAAGUUUCCCGGCCCUCGGAGCUCGUCUCCGCUAUCCGGUCGGUGGUCGUUUCGUCGAACACUUGUAUCGGACACUUUCGUCCGUAGCUAUAACAGGCUCUUCUUUUGUCGAAUUCUUGUAGGUACUGUGAAAUGAAGCGCAUUCAGUACUUGAUCGUCGGUAGAGGCUCGAAUUGCCUCUUCGAUGAUCGCGGUUUUGACGGCUUGGUGAUACUGAACCGGCUCGAUCAGUUUGAAGUGAUAGAGCCUGGAGUAUAUAUGGUCGGGAGCGGAUAUCCGUUCAAUCGAUUAGGUGUUAGGUGCUCCGUUGAGGGUUACUCAGGGCUCGAAUUUGCCGGGGGGAUACCUGGAACUGUCGGCGGGGCUGUUUUUAUGAAUGCGGGGGCUAACGAGCAGGUGAAUCAAUUCAUGUGGAUUUUCUCCAGUUAAUGAUAUGUUAUUAUUCAUAACACAAUGUAUUUAUAUAUAUAUACUAAUCAUGUUAAUGAUUGAUUGCGGAACCUACAAAAGUAAAUCAUAUUAUGGAGGGUCGAGGUUAGGUCUAGAAUUAUAGCAUUUACUGUUCAAAUGAUACAUUUGUUUUGUAAUCUAGGAUACUGGCAGCGUAAUUGACGAAGUGGAGAUUGUCACUACAGAGGGAGAGGUACAAAGGCUGAGGAGGAGCGACAUAGCAUUUGGGUACCGUUGGUCGUCGUUCCAAGAAAUGACGGACUUAGCUGCCAUCUUAUCAGCGAGGUUCCGAUUGACAGCUGCAGAGAAGUCGAGGGAGCGGCAACGGGCUCUACUGGAGAGGUGAGGUUUUGUAUACCUAGAUCAAUUUUUUCUUUUCGUUUAAGUUAGAUGCAGCAAAGUAUCGUCGAGUUUAAUUUUGUGUAAUUAUUAUCUUAAAGAUUGCUCACCUGCUCUCGCUAGAAACUGGCACCAAUUCCUGGAGGACUGUUACGACGCAGUUAGCUGAUCAUAAAUCUAUCAACUUAGUUUCGAGCUUAGUUAGAUCUAACCGUUGUACUAAUGAUUUUCUAUUUUGAGGUGAUUAAAACUUAACUUGCUUGAUUCUGAAAGCUUCACAUGGGAAGUUCAUGACUGAUGAGUUAUUAUACUGUUUUCGACCUAAACUUCAGUUUUAGCAUAAUAUCAAAAAACAUCAUUAGUUGAUGCGGCACUCUAUUAUAUAAACUCCACUGAAUGAAACUGUCGCUAGCCUUCGGCGGCAGAGUAGAAUGCGUCGGGAUGAGUUCAAUUUUAUAUGAUAAUAUCAUCGCCCAUUUCACGUUCGUAAGUGGGAGAGGUCUGUAAAUGAGAUGGUUAACAAUACAUCUUAUUUCUUAAUCCUUUCUUGAAUUAUCUUCUUUCACCUAUGUUUCUCUCCUAGCAUAACUUGGCAAUUCGUCGCUUAACUGUAACAGUUGAUCAUGCAAACCCUGGUUAAAUUAAAGUGAAAAAAUAAUCAUAGUUGAUGUCUUGUUGACUACUAACCUCCACAUCCAAAUUUCUGUUGAAUCUGCCAAGUCCUUCAUUAAUGCGAAAUUGAAGACACAGAAGAGACCUCAGAACAAAAAGUUAAAAGAAAGGGUUAUCCUUCACUUCAUAUUUAAGACUCUGCUAUUAAUGCUAAGCAGUCGAAUGCAGGCGUAGGAGGACCCAGCCGAUCAGAGAACGAACCGCGGGGUCCGUGUUCAGAAACCCUUUGAAUUUAGGAAUAUCGGCGGGAGAAUUAAUCGAGUUGGCGGGGCUCAAAGGGUUUGAGAUAGGAGGUGCAAAAGUUUCUCCACUUCAUGCUAAUUUCUUCAUCAACUUCAACAGUUCUACCUCCUCUGACAUGCUAUUGCUCAUCAACCAUGUAAAAGAAGAGGUGCAUAGGGUUUUUCAGGUGCAACUCAAAGAAGAGAUGAGAUAUGUACCUUACAGAAAUUAAAUUUUAUAUAUGCAAAAAUGAAUUGAAUUCUUUUUGAUCUUCGCAGUCAAUUAAGUACUUGCAAUUAGUGCAAAGUGUGUUACUUAAUGUAGUUUUUAUGAUGUAUUACUUCUGAAAUAAGAUGUUCAGCUAAUAGCAGAUACAUGUGAUUUGAUGUUUGUUGUUAGUAACUUCGCAAAUAAUUGCUCUCAAUAAUGAGGAGCUUAUUUCAAAGGGUAUACAAUAGACCCAACACCUAGAAGUGCUUUUACUAGUCUUUCAAUUCCUUUGAAUGACUGAUGAAAUCUUCCUCAACAGUUUUUGUCAUAUUUCCAGUUUCUUCUGAAGUCUAAAUGUCAUAACUUUAUGAAAAUAUUAAGUAUCUAUUUUACUUUUUAUGUUCAUUAGAAACCAUAUGAUCCAAUUAUUCAUUACUAUAUUACUUCAUUAUUGGAAAAUGAUAGGGUAGUGAGUCUCAGGUGAGUCAGAUCACUCUUAUACUAUUGCUGUGUUUUCACCCUUAGCAUGGACAAAAAUGAACAAUCAUGAUUCUUUUGGGUGAGGAUGAAUUGCCCUCCAUGAUAAUCACAUAUGAUUUUUCUUUUUCUUUUUUUUUACCAAGUUUGAAUUCACUACUUAUGCUACAUUAAAUGUUUUCUUUUGAGAAAAAGCUUGAAAAAUAUCUGAAGCUUGACUAACAUAUCUUUAGUAUCAUAAUCAAUAGAACUCUGUGAUGCAGUUUAGUCUCCGCAUCAUAGAGUCCGGCCACCCUCUACUAUAAGAUGUUCCUGAAAAAUUGCUUUCCAGGUAAAUCGCAUACCUUAUUUUCCUAUGAUCAGAGUUAACUAACAAUGCUACACAAGAUGUUUCGAAAUAUAUUAAAGUACUCAUCAAUAAGAAGCUCAAAACACAUUGUUUAUUGGCAUUUCCCUUUUGUAAUAGGGAAAACUUCAAAAAUGCCCUAUGUGGUUUCGCACUUUUUCAUUUUAGUACUCUGUGGUUUAAAGUGUAUCAAGUUAGUACCCUAUGGUUUCGCACUUUCUCACUUUAGUACCCUGUGGUUUAAAGUGUAUCAAGUUAGUACUCUGUGAUUUUAUUUUUGUAUCAAAUUAGUAUCCUAUGGUUUUAUUUUUGUAUCAAGUUAGUACCAUGUGGUUUUAUUUUUCUCUUAGUAAAAUAUUAAAUCACAGGGUACUAAAGUGAGAAAGUGCGAAACCACAGGAUAUUAACUUGAUACACUUUAAACCACAGGGUACUAAAGUG
rnacentral:lncRNA from 1 species